GCCAAAGCGAUGAAGGGGAGUGCCGGCGGCCCACUCCGGUAGGCGAGAGAGCUGGUGGUUGGUGGGAACCAGCCCGGAGGCUGUCGGGAGGCACCCCUGAGUACCCGGCGAGAAAUCCUGUUAAGGAAUUAAGCCGGGGCGGUCAUGUCCGUUACGCAUGUCGAGGGGGUCAGGUUUGGCAUAAUAACCUGGCCAAGCAGGGUGGCACCGCGGGUAAAACUCUCGUCCCUUUU
rnacentral:ncRNA from 1 species